UGGCUGCUGGACCGCGCCCAUGCGAAGUUCCUUCGACGAGUCGAGUUGUUUGGGAAUGCAGCUCUAAGUGGGUGGUAAAUUUCAUCUAAAGCUAAAUAUUGGCCGGAGACCGAUAGCGCACAAGUAGAGUGAUCGAAAGGUUAAAAGCACCUUGAAAAGGGAGUUAAAUAGCACGUGAAAUUGUUGAAAGGGAAGCGCUUGCAACCAGACUCGGUCGUGGGGGCUCAGCGGGCAUGCGUGCCCGUGUACUCCCCCAUGCUCCGGGCCAGCAUCAGUUCUGGCGGUUGGUUAAAGGCCUCUGGAAUGUAUCGUCCUCCGGGACGUCUUAUAGCCAGGGGCGCAAUGCGGCCAGCCGGGACUGAGGAACGCGCUUCGGCACGGAUGCUGGCAUAAUGGUUGUAAGCGGCCCGUCUUGAAACACGGACCAAGGAGUCUAACAUCCACGCGAGUGUUCGGGUGUCAAACCCGUGCGCGCAGUGAAAGCGAACGGAGGUGGGAGCCCGCAAGGGUGCACCAUCGACCGAUCCUGAAGUCUUCGGAUGGAUUUGAGUAAGAGCGUGGCUGUUGGGACCCGAAAGAUGGUGAACUAUGCCUGAAUAGGGUGAAGCCAGAGGAAACUCUGGUGGAGGCUCGCAGCGGUUCUGACGUGCAAAUCGAUCGUCAAAUUUGGGUAUAGGGGCGAAAGACUAAUCGAACCAUCUGGUAGCUGGUUCCUGCCGAAGUUUCCCUCAGGAUAGCAGUAACGUUUUCAGUUUUAUGAGGUAAAGCGAAUGAUUAGAGGCCUUGGGGUUGAAACAACCUUAACCUAUUCUCAAACUUUAAAUAUGUAAGAAGCCCUUGUUACUUAAGUGAACGUGGGCAUUAGAAUGGAUCGUUACUAGUGGGCCAUUUUUGGUAAGCAGAACUGGCGAUGCGGGAUGAACCGAACGCGAGGUUAAGGUGCCGGAAUGCACGCUCAUCAGACACCACAAAAGGUGUUAGUUCAUCUAGACAGCCCGACGGUGGCCAUGGAAGUCGGAAUCCGCUAAGGAGUGUGUAACAACUCACGGGCCGAAUGAACUAGCCCUGAAAAUGGAUGGCGCUCAAGCGUGCUACCCAUACCUCGCCGUCGGGGUAGAAACGAAGCCCCGACGAGUAGGCAGGCGUGGAGGUUUGUAACGAAGCCUUGGGAGUGAUCCCGGGUCGAACAGCCUCUAGUGCAGAUCUUGGUGGUAGUAGCAAAUACUCAAAUGAGAACUUGAGG
rnacentral:ncRNA from 1 species